GAAAACUUUAUUUAUCAAUUAUAAAAAAGUAUAUAUUAAAGAAUUGUUGGAUAAUUAAAAUAAAAGAAUGAAACUUUUAUUACUUUUUUUUACUCUCACUGUAGCUGAAGAAUUAGUGAAAAUUGAAGAAACUUUUGGUGAAUUCUCAGAUAUAAUUCUAAAUAGCAGGGGAAGAUGGUAUAUUAUUUAUAACACACAACUUUGUACAUCUAUAGACAAAGGUGUAACUCGUGAAGAUAUUGAUUUACCAUCAAAACAAUCAGUUCGUACAGGUUUGGGUAUUGAUGAAUCAGACAAUAUUUAUGUUCAAGAUUGGAAUUUAAUUCUAUUUCGAGUGAUACGUUCAGAAAGUGGUGAUUUUCUUUUUGAAGAAAUAUCAUUACCACAUGUUAAUGAAAGAUUAGUGAGUAGGCCAUUUUCAUUGGAGAAUAAUAUUUAUUUUGCUUCUAAAAGUGGUUUAAUGAAAUUAAAAAAUAAAUAUGAAAAAUCUGCUGAUGAAUUACAUGUAGCACCUUAUGGAAAUUUAAAAAUUACACAUGCAUUACGUUUAAAUUAUACAACAUCAUUUAAUUAUAAAAUUGAGGCAAUUAUUUAUAGUGGUGGUGCCAAUAGACAAUGGAUAUAUCGUUUAUAUUAUUCACACGAGAAACCCAUUUGGCAAACAGAAUCAUCAGUGAAACGAAUGAAUGUCGUGAAUAAUAAUAUUUAUUAUGUUGUUAAUGAUAUAAAUCAAAUUAAUGUUAUAGAAGAUAGUGAUGAAUUAAUGAUUCCUAUAAAGAUAGAAGGAAUUGAAGCUUCGAAUAUUAAUUUUGAAAAUGAUUUUAUUAUUUAUUCACCCUAUUAUAAUAAAACAUACGUGUAUAUGAAUGUCAAUGAUAAGGGAACUAUUUAUAGAUUAGGGGAUAACAAUUCAGAUGGUAAUAUUGUAGUAGAUUUAGUGUCCAACUUGAAUGAUAAAGUGACCUUUAAUUGUGCUGUUUUUUAUAAUGAUACCAUUUAUUUUGGAACAUCAAAUGGUGUUUAUAAAUUAAUGAAUAGUAAGCAUAAGGAAAGAAAAACUGAAAGCUUUAUUAAUCGAUUAGGGUAAAAAAAUUAUUAUUAUUAUUAUUAUUAUUAUUAUUAUUAUUAUUAUUAUUAUUCUUUUACUACAUAAAAUACAAACUUCUGAUACUUUGGAUAGUUGCAAAAUGAAUCUGUUUAAUGAAGAAUGCAAAGAAUUUAUUAUUAAAAGGCUAUCGUUUGGGGUCAUGGUUUUUCCUAGAUAUAUUAAAGAUUCAAUGUUAUAACUUUAGAUUAAAGAACGAUUUUCUCAUGCCAAUAUAAUAUUGUUUGAAAUAAAUUCAAAAAAUAGUGAUUAUAAAUUUUAUAAAAGUUUUUGACGUGAAAUAAAUGUGAAAAAUAUACGGAAAUUACAUUCGAGUGACGUGUUUCAAUUUUCUUUUUUUUUUUUUGUUACGAAUAAAUAUGCGCACGAUAUAGCGAAAAUGAUUUAAUAUUUUCAAUUGUAAGUUAUUAUAAAUAAAAACAUAUAUAUGUUAGAGAAAUAUUGGUAAUUCAAAAAUUGCUUAUGGAUUAGAUGCACUUUCAUAAAUAAUGGAGAAAAAAAAAUAUUCAUUUUAACUGGACAUCAAUUUCAAAUAAAGUUAUUCAACUAGAAUUUUUUAAAAAGAAAUUUAAAAAAAAUUAUUCCACACAAUAUGAAUAUAAGUAUUAUAAUUUUUUUAUCCCUAUUUGGUUUAAUAGUAACUGAAAAAUUGGAAAAAAUUCAAGGAACAGCAGGUGAAUUUUCUGAUAUUAUUGCUGACAAUAAUAAAAGAUGGUAUAUUAUUAGAGAUCGAAAAUUAUAUUAUUCAUUAGACAAGGGAAAAACUUUAAAUAAAAUUCAACUACCAUCGGAAGAAUUAGUUCAUAAGGGAAUGGGAAUUGAUCAAUUUGACAAUAUUUAUAUUCAAGAUGAUAAAUUAUCUGUAUUUAUUGUUGCUCCGUCGAUACAUGAAACUUUUGUAAUUGAAAAAUUAGAAUUAGAACAUAAAAAUGAACGACUUAUUAGUAGACCAUUUGCACUUGGUGAUAAUCUCGUUUAUCUUGCAACAAAAAAUGGUCCAAUGGAAUUAGAAAAUAGUGCUUUACGUGCUAAAAAAAUGGAAAUUCCACCUCGCGUAAAGAAGGAAAUUUCACAAUUCAUUCGUUUCAAUAUUACCGAAAGAUAUGGUGAUUCUUUUGAAGAAAUAUUUUACACUGUUAAUGGUGAUAAGAGACAUUGGAUUUAUGUUAUAUCAUCGGGAACAGCAGUGCCACUUUGUCAAACAAAAGGCCAUGUUAAACGUCUAAAUGUAAUAGGAAAUCGUGUUUAUUUUACUGUAAAUUAUGACAAUAGUGUAAAUAUUAUAGAAUACAGAGAAAAACCAAAAUUCAUUCCAGAAUAUCACAAAGAAAUUACUUAUCCCUCAAAAUUGGAAGGAAUAGAAAAUAUUUACAUUGAUGAUAAUAGUGAUUUUGUUAUUUUUUCACGUGUUAAUAAUUAUAAGACAUUUAUUUAUGGUAAUGUUGAUAAUAAUAAUUCGGGAAUUGUCUAUGGAUUAGAUACAUUUUUGAAAGAUGGAAAAAAUUUAACAGAAAUUGUUAGUUCAAAUAAACUCGACAACAUUCGUAUAUUGUGUGGUGUUAUUGAAAAUGAUAAAUUAUAUUUUGGAACAUCAGAUGGGAUUUACGAAUUAAAAGACAUUUAACAAAUGCGCCUGUUAACAAUAUGUGCUUCUUAUAAUUAAAAAGAAAAAAAAGGAAAUAAAAAAUCAGGGAAAAUAUGUAUGUAUGAUUUGAAAUAAAGAAAAUGAUUUAUAAA